UGAGCAAUCUGCCCUUCACAUCGGAAUAACCAUUGGAAACGAUGGCUAAUACCGAAUACGACUUCGAAUCGCAUGGUUUGAAGUGGAAAGCUCCGGCGGUGAAGGAUGAGCUCGCGGCCUAUCAGCUAGUUGGUGUGGGUAAUGGCCCACCAAGGCGACGACGGGUAGCCGGCCUGAGAGGAUGGCCAGCCACAUUGGGACUGAGAUACGGCCCAGACCUCUACGGGAGG
rnacentral:rRNA from 1 species